AAGAAACAACUAACAAACAAAAAAUGUGCCAAUCAUUUAUAACCAGGCGUGACGUGCAGUGGUAAUUCAUUUAAUUAUCCAAAUCAAACCGGUUUCAAUUUCGCAAAAGUAAUACUCGAGAUCGCGAUUAUGCACAGGAAUAGUAAAUGCAUAAAUGCACCGAUUAAUUGUCUUCAAAUUCCCUGCUGUAUGCCGUUCUAUACACAAUUGUAGUUAUCGCACAAUGUUGUCACUCAGCUUUGAAGAACUUGUUUUCAACCAGUAGUUACGGUUAGCGUGUUUUUAUUUGAAAAUCCUUCUCAGACUCGAAAAUGUUCCUUUGCUUAAAUUGUACUACUCGUAAAUAAACGGUUUUGCUUCGAAUCAGGCUGCUUAAAACACGAUUAAAAGUCUCCCGUUAACGUUAACCAAAAAGUUGAAGGAACUGCUAAUAUCCUUCUGACCUUAUGGAUCAGAAAAAUAGAAUUAAAAAAGUGCACAGAAGGUUAUACAGAUUCGGUGUACUAUUUGUCAAAGGGAAUGAAAUAAAUGCCUUGCUAGGUUAUGAUGACCUAUUUACUAUGAUGGCCUCCAUAUAAAUUAUCAAGAUCAAUUUGGAGAUCUAAGAAAAAUUACUGGUGGUCUCGGUGUAAUGAUCCUUUUACGAUGCAGCCUAUAUUUAAAUUAAGGUUAGCAAAAAUCCUUGGAAGAGCAAGUCGUUGCUGUUUAAAAACAAACACUUUGUACUUGUAAAAGAUCUCACAUUAAAAUAGUACAUUGCUUGGUCUUGUGCCAAGUACCAACUGUUAAAUCGCAGUCGAGUAAUAUAAAACAACCAAUGUUUUCCAUAUUCAAGCCGUGAAUUUAUGCUAAAUUAGCUAUUAAAGUGUAAUAAAAACCAACGUCAAAUGUAAAUUGUAAUUUUUACGGAACGCUUUUUUGUAUACACAAAUAAAUGUGUGGGUGUUAGUA